rnacentral:tRNA from 1 species
GCCUUGGUAGCUCAGUGGAUAGAGCACUUCUCUCCUAAAGAAGGUGUCGCGGGUUCGAUUCCCGCCCAGGGCA